rnacentral:rRNA from 1 species
GUCACGCUGUAAACGAUGUCGAUUUGGAGUUUGGGGGCAUGACCCUUGGGCUCGGAGCUAACGCGUUAAAUCGACCGCUGGGGAGUACGGCCGCAAGGUUAAAACUCAAAUGAAUUGACGGGGGCCCGCACAAGCGGUGGAGCAUGUGGUUUAAUUCGAUGCAACGCGAAGAACCUUACCUGGUCUUGACAUCCAUAGAAUCUUUCAGAGAUGAGGGAGUGCCUUCGGGAGCUAUGAGACAGGUGCUGCAUGGCUGUCGUCAGCUCGUGUUGUGAAAUGUUGGGUUAAGUCCCGCAACGAGCGCAACCCCUAUCCUUUGUUGCCAGCACGUAAUGGUGGGAACUCAAAGGAGACUGCCGUUGAUAAAGCGGAGGAAGGUGGGGACGACGUCAAGUCAUCAUGGCCCUUACGACCAGGGCUACACACGUGCUACAAUGGCGUAUACAAAGGGAUGCGAAGGUGCGAACUGGAGCGGACCUCACAAAGUACGUCUAAGUCCGGAUUGGAGUCUGCAACUCGACUCCAUGAAGUCGGAAUCGCUAGUAAUCGUGAAUCAGAAUGUCACGGUGAAUACGUUCCCGGGCCUUGUACACACCGCCCGUCACACCAUGGGAGUGGGUUGCACCAGAAGUAGAUAGCUUAACCUUCGGGAGGGCGUUUACCACGGUGUGGUUCAUGACUGGGGUGAAGUCGUAACAAGGUAACCA